UGGGGAAUUUUGGACAAUGGGCGCAAGCCUGAUCCAGCCAUGCCGCGUGCGGGAAGAAGGCCUUCGGGUUGUAAACCGCUUUGUCAGGGAAGAAAUCUUCUGAGUUAAUACCUCGGGAGGAUGACGGUACCUGAAGAAUAAGCACCGGCUAACUACGUGCCAGCAGCCGCGGUAAUACGUAGGGUGCAAGCGUUAAUCGGAAUUACUGGGCGUAAAGCGUGCGCAGGCGGUUUUGUAAGACAGAGGUGAAAUCCCCGGGCUCAACCUAGGAACUGCCUUUGUGACUGCAAGGCUUGAGUGCGGCAGAGGGGGGAUGGAAUUUCCCGCGUGUAGGCAGUGAAAAUGCGUANAUAUGCGGAGGAACACCCGAUGGCGAAGGCCAAUCCCCCUGGCCUGCACUGACGCUCAUGCAC
rnacentral:rRNA from 1 species